GGGCUCAAAUGUAUGUUGACGUAUUCUGAAGGAUACUUCUUCGGACAAUAUACAAGGUGCUGCAUGGUUGUCGUCAGCUCGUGCCGGUGAGGUGUCGGGUUAAGUCCCAUAACGAGCGCAACCCCUAUCAUUAGUUGCCAUCAGGUCAAGCUGGGGACUCUAAUGAAACUGCCUACGCAAGUAGUGAGGAAGGUGGGGAUGACGUCAAAUCAGCACGGCCCUUAUGUCCUGGGCUACACACGUGCUACAAUGGCCGGUACAGAGCGCAGCGAGGCCGCGAGGCGGAGCGAAUCGCUUAAAGCCGGUCCCAGUACGGAUUGGAGUCUGCAACCCGACUCCAUGAAGUUGGAAUCGCUAGUAAUCGCGCAUCAGCAUGGCGCGGUGAAUACGUUCCCGGGCCUU
rnacentral:rRNA from 1 species